UACAAGUGUGACCAGGAGAUAUUUUAUUUUGUAUUCUUAUGAUCACAGUUAUAAUCAGAAGUAUCAAUCAUUAAUCAUUUACCAUUGUUGAACCAGUUGACAGAAUAAUCUUUGAACCAUAUCUAGGUUAACAUUAAUCUACACAGAUUAUCAGUACUCUAAUCAGUCUAUUGUUGUUCUGUACUAUUCAUGUUAUUUGCUUAAAGCUGUUUCACAGUUCUGUAAUCACUCAGAAGCCUGUGGGGCCUGCUGGACCCUGCCUUGGUUCCAUGUUCCGUUCUGCACGUACACAGGCCUUGAAAGUACAUGCACGCUCUUAUACAACACAUGAAUGUGUACACACACACUUAGUAAUAAUAGGAGGGUCAUCUGAGGACAGUUUUCUGAUAGAUACACUUUCACAAAAUGCACAAUGUAAUACACACUUGUUUUUCUCUAACAACUAGCAGUUGAUGUCCAUAUUAGGUAAACUCUCUGAACAGGCCCAAACUGUUAUCAUUUCCAGUAAGGUCUGACUGUGUGACGUCAUCAUAGCUUAUAUAAGGGGGGGGGAGCUGUCCACUCUUUGGAGAUCUGUGGCUGUACGCUUGUCUUCCCAUGCUUCUGUCUUAGAAGUGUGCAAUAAAAUCACUAUGUUUGUCACCUACACGGACUCGGCUGUUUUUCCGUCUUACCCAAACCGAACCAGACGUAACAACUUGGUGCCGAAACUCCGGUUGGGGGAGAGGGGAGCUUGCAGCUAUCGUGUGGGUGACAAACAGGGGCGGAGGCCAGCAGCCUGUCUGAGUGACGCCAGGCGUCAUAAGAAAAGGUGAGUGCCACCUGUUGAUUUUUAUCCAAAGGCGCUAUAUUGGAAGUUAAAACUAAAUUUAAUUAAAUAAUAUUCACUCAGUCUGGGCUUCUGGCGUUGGUCCAUAGUGAUCUUGACUAAUUAGUUUUAAAAUAGGGCAGAGUUUAAAAUAGGGCAUAGUAGUCUGACUAAAUUCAUUGUUGUUCAUUUUGGGGGUGAAUUUUGAGUUAAGAAGUUAUGUGUUUAAGUUAAUACGGUUUAAGGUGUGUGGAAAUAAAUAAAUACGGUUUAAGAGGUUAAAUGUGGGUUGACUGGGAAUGCCAGCCAGUCAAUCGGUAGUGUAGGGUUAAUUUGGUUUUGAUUGAGUAGCAAAAACGCGGUUUUGGGUCUCAGGUAAUUAAACUGGAGGGCAGGGUACCCACAGUGAGGCUUUUAAAAUAAGUAAAUUUGAUUAGGACUGGGGCGCGGCCCCUAAGAAUGCAGGCUGUUCAGCGUUUUGGCAGACGCCACAUGCAACGGACGCGUUGUAUGUUUAAGCUCGGUUUGGUCUACCGGGGGCACUUGGGACGCCCUUAAUGGCCAGGUGAUCUAUGAGUGAUUGCCUUCUACUGCAUUAAUUGGCAGGUAGAGUCGCGGACCGGCUGCCUCCUAUUUAAACGUCAGGAGCUUGUGAACUUUAAGUAAAGCCAAAAGCGUGAUCUGGGAUAUUCACGCCGCUGGUGGAGAUCCGGGUGUCCGGGCGGGGAAGCAGUUUUAAAGUACUAGAACUUAGUAAUUUGACCGUUUGUCAAGGCGGCGUACUUGAGACGGGUAAUUGAUCAGCAAGAGCGAGGCUCUGGGCUGAAAGAUGCUUUUAAAUUAGUCAAAAAUUUAGCAACACCAGCAGAGAAAUAGAGAACUGAGAUAAAGUUGUUCUGGCAUAUGGUGUUUUUAGGAAUUUGAGCGCUAUCGGGAGGGCGUUCCCGAGGUGUGUAUUGACCAGCAAGGCGAGGCCUGGGCUAUAGGUGCUUUUAAAUUAGUCAAAAAAGAUAGGAGUAACCUCUUCUGGUAUGACGUCUAUGCGGGCCCGUGUGUAUAUAGAUUAUAAAUUACCGGUGUGUGUAAAUAAGUUGUAUAAAUCUGUUAGAUCUGAAACUCCUGCUAAAAAACUUCCUCUCUACAACUCUUUUCUCUUCUCUCCCUCUUUCUCUCAGUUGAGAUUCUGUGUGUGUAUGUGUGCUGGAAAUAAAAAAAAAAAAGGAAAAGGGUUUCUCUCUCUGUCUCUGUGAGGGAAAAAAAGGUGGGGGCCGAGUGAGCCCGCGGGGCCGAGCGGGUCCGCGGGAGCGAGCGUGUAUGCUGUAUGAGGAAGAAGGGAGUGAGGGGGCGCGAGUGAAAAGAGUAACCGAGUAUUUGGUGAUUUUUUAUUAUUUCAGAGGCACUGGGUAAGAGUUUUGACUUUAGCUGUGAGAGUUGUGAAAAGAGUAGGUUUUUCUUUUGUUGUAGACUGUGAGUAAUCGGUGUUUUUCUGCCUAUUGUGCUGCGUGGAAGACACAGAAGUGUAGAAAUGUUUGUGGUUUAUCUUUGUUUGACGUUUUAUAUAGAGUUGGUUGAAUUAGGGUGAUUUCUCCCGUUUAAGGGAGGAGUUGCAUUGUGGUUAUGUUAAAGCUUUGCUGUAGGGGUAUGUGUGUGAUUUUGUGCUGGCUUCGCAUGAUUAAAUGGAUGCACAGAAGUUUGUGAGUGAGAAAUUGUUAUGGUGGGGUUUAAAGUUAGUAAAGAGUCAAACAACGCCCACUGUUUUAAAAAAAAGGCCCAAAACAUCAUGAAAGACACUUCACAUCCUGGCCACUCCCUGUUCGAACUGUUGCCCUAAGACAGACGGUACAGGGCAAUCAGAGUAAGGACUGAUAGACUCAAACACAGCUGUUAUCCAACUGCCAUAACACAUCUGAAUACUACAUAAAUGUCCAACAUGCCACUCUUGUGUUAAUCUAUGCACGGUCUGAAGCAUGACUGUGGGAAUACUUAGUAUGUUAAGUAUUCUAUCUAUUUUAUUUAUUGAAUUUUAUUGUUUUGUUUAUUUUUUGAUAUUGCUAGGGAUGAUGCAAUGAUCGGGGACCAUUCUUAAUUUCGUUGGUCUCAAGACAAUGACAAUAAAGUUUUUGAUUUUGAUUCUGAUUCUGACAUCCACCCUCCUCAAGAGUUCAAUGAUUUAGGCAGUUAUGUUUAUACAAAUACUAAAUGUAUGUUUAGUGUCUUCAUACAGGUGUUUUUCUUAACCUGGAAACCUGAGUACGGCAGCAGAAGACAGGCCAAGCUUCGGCUAAAAUUCACGGCUGGACACCAGAGUUGUCCUCACCCCUCCCGGAAAAACAAAAAAGAGAGAAUGUAGUUUGAGGCAGGUUUUUCUCGCUGAACUGCUCUGGGUGCUGUCUCCCUGAAUCUCACCAGUGUUAACCUCUGGCGGAAGACAUGGAGAAAAGGAAAAGAUGUUCCUGCCGAAGCUGACCUGGACUCCUACCCUCCCCUCUACCAUCGUUGCCCUCUCCGCGACCAUUUUUGACCCUUUGACCCCUGAAGGCCACAGCAGCUGGACUCACAACAACAAUUUGAGGAUGUCAACAGUGCUGCAAAAGAGUGAUCUCAUGCAGCAGAGACGGAGAGCACUAAACCUAAAGCCCGUUUCACUACACGGGGGAAAUUCCCAGGCUGCGUCAGCUGACAGAGCUGUGACGAGACGCGCAUUAAGCCCGGAGGAAAAGGGAGGGUGAGCAAAAGAAUGCUGACCUCUGAGAAGAGCCGAACGGAAGAGCUGCAGAAGGCCGUGGAGCAGAGUAAGGACAACAUAAACAGACUCCAAUCUGACGUGGAAGGAAAGACUCUGAGGUGUUUGCCCUCAGUAAGAGCUCAAGGCAUCAGAACAGAAACUGAGCACGGCUCCGGAGGAGCUGGCUGCUAAUUGAACUCAUCAGUCAGACUUGGAGUUUCACGUACAGGACUUGUAAUCAGGCGGAAGCUUGCUGGAGCAGGAGGUCGUCAGACUUGACGCAAAGCUCCAACAGCAGGAGUAAACCCUGAAAGACCAUACAGAAGCAAAAGGGUCAAGUUACAAGGAGAAGAUGCAGGCAGCUGCAACAACGGAUGAAAACAGACCCAAAGAGGAGGGGAGGACCCUAGGCCAUGCGUCAGGCCGCUGGUUUACCUAAACUACAGAACAGGAAGGUGAUGAACACAAACAUACACCAACACACGAAUACACACUUCUGCAUGCGCCGACUUAGAAUGAAGAGAAACACACACAUGAACACUUAUGCACUCGCUAAGGGAGUAAAAACUGAUACAUACCCAUGCACUAAAAUCAAAAUGUUGAUUUAAUUUACUAAGAAGUGACACACAAUGCUCCAGCUGCUGCAAUGAAGAAUGCUUUACUGACAAAGGCUCAAUGCUGCACACGACAACGUCAAAUACAGAAUUUGCUAUAAUAAUAAGCCCAGAGGGCAUUUGUGUGGUCUGGGGAGCAGAGUCCGGAGCGGUUUGGUUAUGAAAACGAUGCCCGUGCGAGAUAUCUGGGGCUUAAGGCCUCGACUUAAUUGUUUACUGUACACUAAAAAGAAAAGAAAACCCUCUGAGCAGUGGUGCAGAGUGAAAACGAGGAAUUAACAGUGUGAGUUUUAUUUCAGAGCGCCACGUCAUUGUGAUGGAGAUUUAAUAAAGGAGGAACACACGGACAAAGAAGAAGAGAAAGGGGGGGCAGCCCUUGAACACGAUUGCCUGAGGCAUUAAAGUUCUGUACUAAAUUCGGGUUUCCAGUGUGAGAAAAAGUCACGCAGUGCCAGUAGUAGAGCUAGGUUGAGUGAUGAUUCUAAAUUACUGUAAGGAAAUCAUCGUACACCCGUUCAAGGUUCAUGAUAACGGGGAUCUAGACUUUGUUGAACCCUAGGCAAUUUGAACAGGUAAGAUUCGAGUGACCAAGUAGCAGUUGAAUAAAAGUCAUUGAAUAAGUGUUGAAAUACACUGGCAGAAUUAAGAGAAUUGAAACAUUUCAAGAGCUCAAAUUACUUAAUGGUUCAAUUUUGUUUCACGAACGCAAAACAUAUAGGUUUAUGAAUAUGAAAAGGUUGCAGUGGUGUUGAUUUGACUCUGUGUAGGUUUAGGUUUGGUAUUUUUAUUGAUGGGAGGGAUAUUCAGUGACAAGUCCUAAGACCCGGGCGUCUGCAUUUUGUUUUUGUUAUUUUUCAUUUUAUUUUGUUUUAUAUUUUGAACAGUGCACUGAUUUUUGUUUGUGAAUCUUUUCUUUAAGCAGAUCUGCACAACGGAAAUUACAAGCAUUACACGUCGGCGAGAAAAUUGUUGUAAGUGAGUUUCUCCGCAUUGAAAUGGGUUCUGGAGGAAACACUUGUGGGGACAAUUAGAAACGAGAGUCCCUGUUUAAAAAAGGAUUCAGCGAGGUAAUCCAAAUUCAAGUUCUUGUUUUCUUUUUGAGAUGACGUCAUUUUGCUGAGUGUGGAAACUAAAUGCGACGACAGGUUUCACUAUCAGCAAAGAAAGAAAGAAUGGAUGAAUGGAUGAAAGACUGGGAAUAAAAACAAACGGACUGACUGGUAAAAGAUGACAAGACUUGACCAUGACUCAAGGUUAACCACCUCCACCUAGAUAGGAUAAAAGGGUGGAUGAAUUUAUGUGUGUUUCUUUUACAGGAGUAGAAGGAUGACAAAAUAUUCGAGGAUGAGUGAACCUUUAAAUGCCAUUUUUGUGUCUUGUGUUGUUUACAGAGGUAACUGCGCAGCGUUACCAUUUACAUUUUCUUCCCUACAGGGUUACAGUUUUAAUGUUUUUCUAUUACAGGAUUUCUGGGCGGAUGUGUGAAGAAACGGUGUUUAUGGGUUAGGAGUGGGGGAUGCUAUUACACUGUAUUCUGGUGAGAGUGUUGGGGGAGACACACUCUGUCUUGAAAACUGUGAUUCUUUUACAGGAAAUGUUUUAUAGCACCUAUGGAAUGAGGAUGGCUGACUACGGUCAAUGUGCUGCUGAUGUUUGCUUUGCUUUGGUGAGAAGGGUGCAGUAGAAAACAGACAAGUGACAUGAAAACAAGUAAUAAUAACAAAUAACAAAUUUGGGGACAGUUUGACCUAGAGCCCACUAACUGGCCAUUAGGGGCUCUCGCUCUCUCUCUCUCUCUCUCUUUCUCUCUCUUGGAAUAACAUUGCCCAAAAGGGUGAAUAAAGCAAAUUCUGGCAAUAAUAGUGGUUUAAUGAUUGGGGAAACCUGAACAUGAUACUUGUCUGUUGUGCUGAACCGUUUAUUACUCUUAUGAUUUGCAGGUGGUUGUAAAUAAGCUGUUUACUUUAACAGGUUUGCUUUUUAGCUGAAUUGCAAAAUACAACUAGAACGAUUGAUUGAGACUAAUCGCUACUAACCUGAAACUGAGGAGGUUCUAUAUAAGGAGGAAUUAAAACAGGUAUAAAAUGCAUCUGAUCUUUAAUUGCAGGUGGGACCAUGAAGAUUUUUUGGUACAGAUUGCAAGUUGUUGCUCAUUAUUGAAGUGUGUUCAUAAAGGCCAAAAGCUAUAUAGGGGGUCUAUCAUUUGGUCUGUGUUUUAAUAAUUUAGGUAUGGCAAAAUUAAAGGUUUCUAGACAAUUUAGGGAACGAGUGAGAAGCAUAAUUAGAUGAUCAGAAACUGAGUACUACACUCAUGUUAGAAUUGAGAAUGCCCAAUUUGUUUGAGGUCUGUUGUUCAUUUUUAUACACACCUUGCAAAUGUGCUUAUAAGGAGCUGGCACUUAGUCUGUGAAGGUCAAAAGCUUCAUCCGACAACGGAUCGGAUUGAUAUAUUGGUGCUAUUGACUUCACGUGCAGAGGGUUAAAUGCAUGCACGCUUACACACAUAAGCAUGGCAUAGGAUUGGAAUAAACAAAGUCAACGACAUUAGGUUAGGAGAGCCAGCGCAGGAGAGGUGUUGGCUUUCUGUCUCUUGCAGAGAAGGGAACAAACACCAGACGGGGACACGGAGAUAUGGGGACCCUUCACAGCAACUGGGGUCAAGUGUCAUGGCCUUGGGGCUCCUUGAUAAGAUGGAUCCCAUAACCACAGCGAUAACCAGGAAGGGGUUGGCUAAAACUAGGAACACCAGAGACCAACGUGGUUCGAGAGGCUUUUGGCAAAAAGGGGGACACGGCGGUCACAACGGACAACAAACACACAGAUCUGUGUAGCGACUGAAGGGUGGUCUAACCCCGGAAGUCGAAGAAAGAAGAAUCCGAGGGCGUUUCUUCACUCCAAGAGGAGGGGGUAAAGGGGCCUGAAGCGUGUCAGGCUGAAACUCGAGUCUGAAGCUAAAAGAACAGCUGGGGUGUGGGAAAAUUGGAAAACAACGGAGGCGUUGGGAUUGAUAAGUGUCAUAACGUGUUUGUUUGGUUUGGAAAUAAAUCCUGGUGUGAGUUGGGCUGGCAAGCCAGCCCAAAGAGGAGGAAUGUGACCAGGAGAUAUUUUAUUUUGUAUUCUUAUGAUCACAGUUAUAAUCAGAAGUAUCAAUCAUUAAUCAUUUACCAUUGUUGAACCAGUUGACAGAAUAAUCUUUGAACCAUAUCUAGGUUAACAUUAAUCUACACAGAUUAUCAGUACUCUAAUCAGUCUAUUGUUGUUCUGUACUAUUCAUGUUAUUUGCUUAAAGCUGUUUCACAGUUCUGUAAUCACUCAGAAGCCUGUGGGGCCUGCUGGACCCUGCCUUGGUUCCAUGUUCCGUUCUGCACGUACACAGGCCUUGAAAGUACAUGCACGCUCUUAUACAACACAUGAAUGUGUACACACACACUUAGUAAUAAUAGGAGGGUCAUCUGAGGACAGUUUUCUGAUAGAUACACUUUCACAAAAUGCACAAUGUAAUACACACUUGUUUUUCUCUAACAACUAGCAGUUGAUGUCCAUAUUAGGUAAACUCUCUGAACAGGCCCAAACUGUUAUCAUUUCCAGUAAGGUCUGACUGUGUGACGUCAUCAUAGCUUAUAUAAGGGGGGGGGAGCUGUCCACUCUUUGGAGAUCUGUGGCUGUACGCUUGUCUUCCCAUGCUUCUGUCUUAGAAGUGUGCAAUAAAAUCACUAUGUUUGUCACCUACACGGACUCGGCUGUUUUUCCGUCUUACCCAAACCGAACCAGACGUAACACAAGGAUGAAAAGUAAAUGAAAACUAGAAAAAUAAAAAACUUUGGAAAUAAAAA
ensembl:lncRNA